rnacentral:rRNA from 1 species
UGGCAAGUCGACCAAAGGCGAAAGCAGUCAUCAAGGGCACACCCGUUGAUCAAGAGCGAAAGUUAAGGGUUCGAAGACGAUCAGAUACCGUCGUAGUCUUAACUAUAAAUGAUACUGACCAGGGAUAGGACUCUGUCCAUUCCGACUUCUCCUGGACCUUAGAGAAAUCAGAGUCUUUGAGUUCUGGGGGGAGUAUGGUCGCAAGGCUGAAACUUAAAGGAAUUGACGGAAGGGCACACAAAGAGUGGAACCUGCGGCUUAUCAGAUUAGGCCAAAAGCAGCACCCCAUGGGGUGUUGCUAGUCGGGGGGGGCUAGCUCCUCUCGGCAACAUCAUCAAAUUGCGGGCAAGCCCUAAAGCCAGUGCUACUAAACGUGCGCCGUAAGGCGGAUAAAACAGGAGCUUUGACCCCCUAACCGGGCGAGCUGCUUGCACGUGGCCGAGCUAAUCACUCGGGUAUAGUAACAACGCACUUGGAUACUGGUGAUCUAGGCUUAACCCCUUCGAUGGGGCCUAUUUCCUAUACCAUAUCAUGGGUCAUUCGCAGCCAAAUCCAUUACGUACCAGGGGAGAUCUAACGAUCUUCAAGACUCACCCAUACUAGCACCCUUGAUCAAAAUGACGAUCAUAUAAGCUGGUUUGCAUGGUAGUCUAUACCCUGUACGGGACACAGUUCACAGACUAGACGGUGGUGGGCAGGGGUCCCUCUCUUCACAGGGUGGGGUUCCUGCUUAAGAUAUAGUCGGGCUCACCUGAAAGGGUGCCUGGGGAAGAAGCUAGUUGAACACUGGCCUGAGCCCUGGGAGGUGAUUCUUGGUGACUGGGGGUGAGGGGGUGCCUUCGGGGACCCCUCCCCACGACUUCUGGGGAUUGCUGAGAACACACGUAAUUUGACUCAACACGGGAAAACUCACCAGGUCCAGAUACACGUAUGAAAGACAAGCUGAAAGACUUUUCUCAAUGAUGUAAGUGGUGGUGCAUGGUCGUUCUUAGUUCGUGGAGUGAUUUGUCUGGUCUAUUCCGAUAACGAGCGAGACCCCGGCGUUCCUAAUAGGGGCAGCAGCCCGGCUCGUACCGCAAGGUGCUUGCUAGCAGCUGCCUCAACAUGCUUCUUAGACGUAUCAGAGCCGAUAAGGUUCUUGAAAUGGGUUAAUAACAGGUCAGUCAUGCCCUUAGAUGUUCUGGGCCGCACGCGCGUUACAAUGGCAUACAUUAGAACGUGCUCACAAGGGCAUAUCCGCGGCCGGCAGGUCGUGGUAACCCUUAGUCUCUUCCUUGACUGGGACAGACUAUUGCAAUUAUUGGUCUCAAACGAGGAAUUUUUAGUAGUCGCAGGUCAUUAACCUGCGACG